AUUGAACGCUGGCGGCAGGCCUAACACAUGCAAGUCGAGCGGAGCGGCGGACGGGUGAGUAAUGCCUAGGAAUCUGCCUGGUAGUGGGGGAUAACGUCCGGAAAAGGGCGCUAAUACCGCAUACUAUCAGAUGAGCCUAGGUCGGUUUAGCUAGUAGGUGGGGUAAAGGCUCACCUAGGAGACGAUCCCUAGCUGGUCUGAGAGGGUGACCAGCCAAUCUGGGACUUGGACCCGGUCCAUACUCCUACGGGAGGCAGCAUUGGGGAAUAUUUCACAAUGGGCGCAAGCCUGAUGCAGCCAUGCCGCGUGUAUGAAGAAGGCCUUCGGGUUGUAAAGUACUUUCAGCGGGGAGGCGUUACCCGCAGAAGAAGCACCGGCUAACUCCGUGCCAGCAGCCGCGGUAAUUC
rnacentral:rRNA from 1 species